rnacentral:rRNA from 1 species
AACGAACGCUGGCGGCGUGCUUAACACAUGCAAGUCGAACGGAAUUAGGGGCUUGCUCCUAAUUUAGUGGCGCACGGGUGAGUAACGCGUGGAUAACCUACCCUGGUAUCUGGGAUAACAUCUCGAAAGGGGUGCUAAUACCGGAUAAGCCCACGGUCUCUUCGGGGAUUGCGGGAAAAGAUGGCCUCUGUUUAUAAGCUAUCGUAUCAGGAUGGGUCCGCGUACCAUUAGCUAGUUGGUGGUGUAAUGGACCACCAAGGCGACGAUGGUUAGCUGGUCUGAGAGGAUGAUCAGCCACACUGGAACUGAGACACGGUCCAGACUCCUACGGGAGGCAGCAGUGGGGAAUUUUGCGCAAUGGGGGAAACCCUGACGCAGCAACGCCGCGUGAGUGAUGAAGGCCUUCGGGUCGUAAAGCUCUGUCAGAGGGGAAGAAGUGAUAGUGUGCUAAUACCACAUUAUCUUGACGGUACCCUCAAAGGAAGCACCGGCUAACUCCGUGCCAGCAGCCGCGGUAAUACGGAGGGUGCAAGCGUUGCUCGGAUUUAUUGGGCGUAAAGCGCGUGUAGGCGGUCUUUUAAGUCUGAUGUGAAAGCCCCGGGCUCAACCCGGGAAGUGCAUUGGAAACUGGGAGACUUGAAUACGGGAGAGGGUAGUGGAAUUCCUAGUGUAGGAGUGAAAUCCGUAGAUAUUAGGAGGAACACCGGUGGCGAAGGCGGCUACCUGGACCGAUAUUGACGCUGAGACGCGAAAGCGUGGGGAGCAAACAGGAUUAGAUACCCUGGUAGUCCACGCCGUAAACGAUGAGUACUAGGUGUUGCGGGUAUUGACCCCUGCAGUGCCGCAGCUAACGCAUUAAGUACUCCGCCUGGGAAGUACGGUCGCAAGACUA